rnacentral:tRNA from 1 species
GGCUCGUUGGUCUAGGGGUAUGAUUUUCGCUCAGGGUGCGAGAGGUCCCGGGUUCAAUUCCCGGACGAGCCC